rnacentral:rRNA from 1 species
UACGAAGGGGGCUAGCGUUGCUCGGAAUUACUGGGCGUAAAGGGCUCGUAGGUGGCCAACUAAGUCAGACGUGAAAUCCCUCGGCUUAACCGGGGAACUGCGUCUGAUACUGGAUGGCUUGAGUUUGGGAGAGGGAUGCGGAAUUCCAGGUGUAGCGGUGAAAUGCGUAGAUAUCUGGAGGAACACCGGUGGCGAAGGCGGCAUCCUGGACCAACACUGACGCUGAGGAGCGAAAGCCAGGGGAGCAAACGGG